AGAUUAAACUGAAGAGUUUGAUCCUGGCUCAGAUUGAACGCUGGCGGCAUGCCUUACACAUGCAAGUCGAACGGCAGCGCGGGGCAACCUGGCGGCGAGUGGCGAACGGGUGAGU
rnacentral:rRNA from 2 species